rnacentral:rRNA from 1 species
AUGAACGCUAGCUACAGGCUUAACACAUGCAAGUCGAGGGGAAACGGCAUCGAAAGCUUGCUUUUGAUGGGCGUCGACCGGCGCACGGGUGAGUAACGCGUAUCCAACCUGCCCAUCACUUGGGAAUAACCUUGCGAAAGUAAGACUAAUGCCCAAUGACAUCCCACGAAGGCAUCCGAAUGGGAUUAAAGAUUUAUCGGUGAUGGAUGGGGAUGCGUCUGAUUAGCUUGUUGGCGGGGUGACGGCCCACCAAGGCAACGAUCAGUAGGGGUUCUGAGCGGAAGGUCCCCCACAUUGGAUCUGAGACACGGUCCAAACUCCUACGGGAGGCAGCAGUGAGGAAUAUUGGUCAAUGGUCGAGAGCCUGAACCAGCCAAGUAGCGUGCAGGAUGACGGCCCUAUGGGUUGUAAACUGCUUUUAUAAGGGAAUAAAGUGGGUCACGUGUGACUUUUUGCAUGUACCUUAUGAAUAAGGACCGGCUAAUUCCGUG